GGCUUAGAGUUUGAUCAUGGCUCAGGAUGAACGCUGGCGGCGUGCCUAACACAUGCAAGUCGAACGGAGUUAUUCGAGGAAGUUUUCGGAUGGAAUCGAAUAACUUAGUGGCGGACGGGUGAGUAACGCGUGGGAAACCUGCCCUGUACUGGGGGAUAACACUUAGAAAUAGGUGCUAAAACCGCAUAAGCGCACGGGACCGCAUGGUCUUGUGUGGAAAACUCCGGUGGUACAGGAUGGUCCCGCGUCUGAUUAGCCAGUUGGCAGGGUAACGGCCUACCAAAGCGACGAUCAGUAGCCGGCCUGAGAGGGUGGACGGCCACAUUGGGACUGAGACACGGCCCAAACUCCUACGGGAGGCAGCAGUGGGGAAUAUUGCACAAUGGGGGAAACCCUGAUGCAGCGACGCCGCGUGAGUGAAGAAGUAUUUCGGUAUGUAAAGCUCUAUCAGCAGGGAAGAAAAUGACUGCACCUGAGUAAGAAGCCCCGGCUAACUACGUGCCAGCAGCCGCGGUAAUACGUAGGGGGCAAGCGUUAUCCGGAUUUACUGGGUGUAAAGGGAGCGUAGACGGUGAAGCAAGUCUGGAGUGAAAACCCGGGGCUUUAACCCCGGGAUUGCUUUGGAAACUGUUUAACUGGAGUGCAGGAGAGGUAAGCGGAAUUCCUAGUGUAGCGGUGAAAUGCGUAGAUAUUAUGAGGAACACCAGUGGCGAAGGCGGCUUACUGACUGUAACUGACGUUGAAGCUCGAAAGCGUGGGGAGCAAACAGGAUUAGAUACCCUGGUAGUCACGCGGUAAACGAUGAUUGCUAGGUGUAGUGGGUAUGGACCAUCGGUGCGCAGCUAACGCCAUAAGCAUUCCACCUG
rnacentral:rRNA from 1 species